GCCAGACUCCUACGGGAGGCAGCAGUGGGGAAUAUUGCACAAUGGGGGAAACCCUGAUGCAGCGACGCCGCGUGAGUGAAGAAGUAAUUCGUUAUGUAAAGCUCUAUCAGCAGGGAAGAAAAUGACGGUACCUGAGUAAGAAGCCCCGGCUAACUACGUGCCAGCAGCCGCGGUAAUACGUAGGUGGCGAGCGUUGUCCGGAAUUACUGGGUGUAAAGGGAGCGUAGGCGGGAGAGCAAGUCGACUGUGAAAUCUAUGGGCUUAACCCAUAGCUGCGAUCGAAACUGUUCAUCUUGAGUGAAGUAGAGGCAGGCGGAAUUCCUAGUGUAGCGGUGAAAUGCGUAGAUAUUAGGAAGAACACCAGUGGCGAAGGCGGCUUUCUGGACUGAAACUGACGCUGAGGCACGAAAGCGUGGGGAGCGAACAGGAUUAGAUACCCGUGUAGUU
rnacentral:rRNA from 1 species